rnacentral:misc_RNA from 1 species
UGGCCUUCAUUUACUCCGUCAGAAAGUUUUUAGUACGCCAAAACCUGGGAACCCUGUUCUCUCGCCAUUCUAUCACCAGCCGCCAUUUCCUGUUCUCAAAACGUACGCCGACGUCCUCAAGUCGGCCAUCAACUCUAGUGACAUGGCUAAGGAGGAAACUGAUCCUGAGGGCUGGAGAGUGAUGGAUCGCCGACGCCAGCAGGUACGUGGUCGUUCCUCGGGUCUUGACAGUUGGUCGUCCCGUGGUCGGGAAAACUGGGAAGUUCGAGGGCGUGGUUCAUGGCGUCGCCGCGGCAACCGGUUUCACACGUAUGGUGGGUCGUUCGGCUCUGAUGCCAGGGUGAUUGUAGCUCACAGUAGUGGUAUGCAGACCGAGCCGGCUUGUAAACAGGUUGCAGACGUUACAUCCGGCGUUGCUGACAAGGGGAAGAAACGACGGGAUGAACUUUGUUGUGAAAUUUGCGAAGACAAUCAUGUCCCCGAGGAGUGCCCGGUGUUUAACGGACCGAAGCCGCAGGCAGCUCUAUGUGGUUUUGCAGGUGGUGAGUCUGGUUUCUUCCAGAUUCAUACUUGGGGGUGCAAAGGGUGUUAUUCCAAGGUCGGAUGGUGUAACUGCAUUCAUAACCGUGAAGGAAGGGUUGAGCUUCAACGCAUGAUAGCUAUGAAGUAUGUUCAUACACUGGGUGGAGAAGUAGGAUCUAUUUUGGGUGCAACACAGAAAGUGGAUAUGCGAUACACUCGGAAAAUGGGGGUGGUCCGUAUUUUGGUGGCAGUGACGGAUGUGAAUCAUAUUCCGGAGUCUGCAGAAAUAAUAGUUGGUGAAGGGCUUUACGAGAUCUUCUUCAAAGUUGAUAAGGUUCUCAAAGAUGGGAGAUGGAUUGACAAGGAUAACAUGGAUUAUCGGGACGGAGAUGAUAAGGAACAAGGAGAGAAUGAAGAUUAUUCUGAAAAGCAUGGAAAUGAUUCUUUUCCAAUGGAGGAGGUAGCAGAAGACACGGUCAUGCGGGAUAAUUCCUUACAGAGUGAUCAUAAUAAGCCAAACGAUGGAGCUUUAGUCAUGGGGAUGGUGGUUCUGCAAGGGAAUCAGAACAAUUAUGGCUCAACGAUAGGAACAGGUGUUGAGUCUGAAGAUUCGACUUUCAAUGAGCCGACAACUUUGAUGCCAACUUCCUCCUCUUGUUCUGCUCAGUAUGCUCUGCUAGUACCUAAGUCUGCCGAAGCACUCGUUCUGGAACCAAAAAUUGGCCUUACCGAUCUCUCACCUGGUGAUCUUGAUCAGACACCAGAAAAUGUUGGCGAGGAUGCGAAUCUUAGCAGCCUUUACGAUCUGGUUCCAAGCUGUUCGAUACUUGCUGGUAUGACGGAUGGUGCUGGCGGGCUGAAUUUGGCUGAUGACAGUUUGCAGACCCAGGCUGCAUCAAAGCCACUUAGUGGUGGUGGUGCUGGUUUGGCUUUAAUUGAUGCCAGUAAUAAUUCCCAGGUGGACAACGAGUUGAUCGACGAACUAAUUAUGUCUACUGAUACACAGGAGAGAGCCAUUCACCUGGGAGAUGUUAAUUCCUUUGCUGAGGUACCUCGCUCUGUCCUCCAGGAAGCAAUUAUGUCUAAUUCUCUUGCUAAGAGGGUAAAGACCGAAAAGCUUAGUCAAGGGGAUUCCAGAAUAAGCGUCAAGAGGACUAAUACGGAUGAAGAUAUAUUGACAAAAGCACAGCGCUUGGGAGCAAAACGUAAUCUGGAAACCAGUCAUUUUCAGAGGUACUCAUUGGUUAAGGUUCUGGAGACUUCUACAGAAGAAGGAAACACAUCAACAAAUUCUUGAUGUGUGUCAAGCCUUGGAAGUGGUGGCGAUGGAAGUCUUUGCGAAUCAUGGAUGGCGAUCAAAUGCAAGACUUGAGUGUGGCUAGUGUUAUACAUAGUCACGAUAUUUAGUUCUAUCAAGUUAGCUUUAUUAUUCAAGCACAUGUUCAUUGAGUUAAUAAUUGACGUGUAAUGGCUGUACACAUUUGAUGCAAAAGCCGGAACUCUUUGUUUCCAAAAAAAAAGCUAAGUGGCCAGUAGCUCCAAUAAAAUGUUGUAGAGGAGGC